ACACCGCUCGUCACGCGAGAUAAAAAAUUAUAACGAAUAUUGGUAGAGCGUGGAAAGGUUCCCGUGAGGAUAGAAAUGAAAUAGAUAUUCUUGAAAGAGAUAACUCAACAUGAUAUAAAAACUAGGGUAAACGGCGGCUGUAAUCUGACGGUCCAAAGGUAGCAAAAUUCCUUGUCGGGUAAAUUCCGUCCUGCAUGAAUGGUG
rnacentral:ncRNA from 1 species